CCUACGGGUGGCUGCAGUGGGGAAUAUUGGACAAUGGGCGAAACCCUGAUCCAGCGACGCCGCGUGAGUGAAGAAGUAUUUCGGUACGUUAAGCUCUAUCAGCAGGAAAGAAAAUGACGGUACCUGACUCAGAAGCCCCGUCUAACUACGUGCCAGCAGCCCCGGUAAUGCGUCGGGGGCAGACGUUAUCCGGAUUUACUGGGUGUAAAGGGAGCGUAGGCGGCUGCGCAAGUCUGGAGGGAAAAGCCGGGGGCCAACCCCGGAACUGCUGUGGAAACUGUGAAGCUGGAGUGGAGGAGAGGUAAGCGGAAUGCGUGGUGUAGCGGUGAAAUGCGUAGAUAUCGGGAGGAAUACUGAUUGCGAAGGCGGCCUGCCAGA
rnacentral:rRNA from 1 species